UGGGUCUUCGUUGCUGAGCGCGGGCUUCCUCUAGCUGCGGCGAGCGGGGGCUACUCUUUGUUGUGGUGCGCGGGCUUCUCAUUGCAGUGGCUUCUCUUGCUGUGGAGCGUGGGCUCUAGGCAUGUGGCCUUCAGUAGUUGUGGCAUCAGGGCUCAGUAGUUGUGGCUCGCGGCCUUAGUUGUUCCCUGGCAUGUAGGAUCUUCCCGGACCAGGGCUCGAACCCGUGUCCCCUGCAUUGGCAGGUGGAUUCUUAAUCACCGCGCCACCAGGGAAGCCCAGGGAUGGCAUCUUCAUGCUGCCUUGCUUGCCCUCCUCACCCAGGGGUCUCAGAUCUCCCUUCACCAGGGGCCAGAGCUGGCACGGAGCCUGGGGUUUGGCUGAAAGCUGGGUCAGGUGGCCUGGGGUGGGGUGCGGGGGAUGCCUCCUGGUUGUAGCCCGGCAGGCAUGGCUUGCAUCUUACCCAGCUUCCUCCACAAUCCCCAGCAGAGUGCUGGCAUGGGGAUGCCUGAAGUUCUUUUUGAUUAAUUGUUUGCCACUGUUUGCAGCCCAUGUGACGUGAACCAAAUCAGCCCCCAACUGAACCCUCUGCCCAACGGUCACAGCAAUUUCUAGCGGCAGGGGGCGCUCCGGCGCUGGACGUGAAAGGUCAGCUGGACCAGAUCCAACACGAGGAACAACCGAGGUCGCUGGCUGGAGGGCAGAUCAAGUCUAAGGCCGGGAUUCGCUCUCUCAGCAGGAGAGAGGAGAGGAGACCUGCGAUUUGGAAUAGAGAGUUCUCUGUGGACCCCGGAUAUUUCUCAGGAGCUCCCCACUGAGAAAGGAGUUUCCCAUAAGAAACGAAGUGCUGCCUCGGAAAACUACCCAGGAGAAUUCAGGAGGGGCCCAAAGAAGGAGGAGACGACCAACCUCCCAGAAUCCUUCACGCUGGAAUCCAGCCAAUCCUCUUGGCUGAGAGAUGCGUGUGCAACCAGGAAGGACCCUGAGUCACCAGGACAAGAUGAUCCCUCCAGCUUGCGGACCAGAGGCCCUGCCCCGGGCCUGCUCUCAACACUGGGCUACCACCUCAGUUCAACAAGGACCAGCUCUCCAGGAGAAAACUCAGGCUUGUAGGAACGGGCUGAAGAAGGCCAGAGAAAUGGAAGAAAGCAAAAAAUCUCAUAGGACUGCAAGGGACUGAGGAGGAACUCACCGUGGAAGCAGGGGAAGAGUGGUCUGUU